GCACGAAGCGUGUUAAAGAUACAAAUAUAGUUGAAUAGCCCCGUGAAAAUUUGUAUUGCCACUAUGGUGACAUUUUGAUUGUAGUAGUAUCCGAAAUAUAUAAAGAUGGAACAAAUGUACGAACAAAAAUUAAAAAAUCGUAAUAUUAUAUCAGAAUAAAGAUGCUUUUGUGAUACGAGUAUGUUUAAUAAAUUGAGACAGUGUUCGUUUCGUGUUAUAGAUUCUUUUGUGUUCUUUUAAUAUGGAAGUGGAGAUAAAGUUGAAUUUUAAUAUAUUUCGUGGGAAGAAGGGUAAUAGCUAACCGGAAAUCAAUCGUUAAAGAAAUGUCCGCAUCGAUCAUGGGGGAAGACCUGUGGUAAGAGUUGUGACGCAUUAAAAGAGGAAAUUCGACUCAACGGCAGAAUGACGACUGAUACAUUUCACACUACAAGGAUACUGUGUGCAUGGCGUCUGGUUACGUAUGGACGGCCCUGGCAGCGGAGUGUUGUUCCACGCCGCCACUAGGUGGCUCCCAACUCGAGUGAUUUCCCGCAAGCAAAACGUGCUCCCUGGUAGAUAUAAGCCCGACCGAAACGAAGAACGAAACACUAUUGACCUGAAGAUUACAUACAAAAGACGUAGAAGACGUAGGAUCUCUCGCACAUAUCUCUUUCAUUCGGAGCCGACAGAGGAGUCUCGCACACCUUUCUUGCUGCACAAACAGUCCAAGAUUGACCAGAAGGAAGGGAAUCUGUACAGAGGACUACAUGGACAACCUUCGACUCUGGUAUCCACAUGAAUGGACCAGUACCUGUGCCUGAAGACUAUAAGGGUGAUAUUGGGUUCUGCAGAUAUUACUGGUUGGCGAAGGCUGCGCCAACGACACCAGGGGACAAACUCCGAAAAUGGCUUUCCGUUCCUGGAAGGACGUUUUAAUAGCGAACAACGUCACGUUUGCUACGACGCCAAGCUGCUGGUUCCGCGGAAAACCGAACAGUACUCCAGGGAGCGCGGGAAAACAGGACACGACCAGGACGGAUGAGAGGACUCGCAAAAGUUCGACGCAUGAACAAUUGAAAGUGCAAGAGUCCGGAACCACCGUGGAUGCGCUCCUGGCUCCGCGGCUCGUAAAGAAGCUGGCCUGUUUUCGCUCUUGAGUUUCCGAGGAAAUAUUAGAAAGAAGCUUAACACCUUUCGUCCGUUCAUUUUUAACUAGAUUACUAGAUAGAGCAUAGGAACCUGAUGAAAGCGUCCUGUGCAGCCCUUUGGGGCGCUGGGUUUGCCAACGUGAGCAAAACUUUUAUAAAUUGAUGGGUGAAAGUGGAGCUCUUUUCAAGCGAUGUAAAAAUAUAACGAGCUAACGCUAAAUUUAUUCGACUAAAAGAUUAUGGAUUGUAUAUAGUAUAUAAAAUUUAAUGUGCAAUAUGAGAAGAGUCGUACACUGUUCUAUGUACUACCGCGUCUGGCCAGACGCGGUCUCGUUUCACUUCCUCGACACGCACGCCGUAGGCAGACCAGUUCGCACAACUGGGAAGUAGCAUGAGCGUGUACAUGGUCAGACGAUGAAGUGGGAUAGAACCACGCGUGGUCAGAGGAAGUAGAAUUCACCCGUGCGUGGUCAGACGUUGAAGUACGGUAGAAUUACGUGGUUAAAAGAAUAGGACGUGCGUAUUAUGUAUCAACCUUCGAUAAAUUGCUAAGACGUCAAGAACGAAUAAGUGCCAUCUCCGAUCGUACUACGCGCAACGAAGAACAUGUCCGUCUCCUUGUAAAUUGAUAACGCUCAAAAUGAAACCGCGUAGGAAAUAUGGCGCGCGAAUCGAGAGACUAGAGCGAACAGGGGCGAUAAAUUUCGUGGAACGGUGGCUUCGUUCGCGACGGUGCAGCCAGGAAAGCAAUCUGCGCUGAAAGUCCCGUGGAAAAAUAUUGAAAACUGGCUGGCUUCUAACUAGGCGGAACACCAGCGUCUCCCUCGUAUAACAAGGAACGUAACCCCGAUGCACCUCUCGCCGUAACCGCUCCACGGAGUUGCUCGUCGCGGUAUCCUGGCGCAAGGAGGAGGAGCGGAUGGAAAAACAAGACGCCUCUCAUCCCCCAACGAGCUUAGCAUUUUUAUAUUGUGGCCCGAUGCUUGUACGCCAUCCAGGAAUUCGUGAUAUCGGAGGAAGAAGGAGGAGGUGCUCCCGGGUUAACCAUUCCGCGAGGGUAUAACUUAUUUUUGCAUUCGAAAUAUUCGAAUUCUCAAGGGGUGUUCCGACUCGAGCGAACUUCUAUUCUUUGAACCGAGACUAUAUAUGGUUUCGGGCGACCCGGGGGGAGGUGGGAGGUGGGUUUCUUUUUGUUUCGCGAGGCGAGGAGCUGAAUUGCUGGCAUAGGAAGUUUGAAUGGUUUGCGGCGCGGAGCAGAAUGGUGGGGUGAAAAUUAUGCAUAUUUUGGAAGAGUGUAUCCUAAGUUGGAGUUGAAGUUUUAACGAGGAGGAAGUAGUAGGUAAUCGUGAUACAACCUGUGUUAUAUUGAAAACAACAUGAACUUUACUACAGUACCUUUCAUUUCCUCAUUAUUUUCCUCAUAAUUACUUAUAACUUUCUCAUUAAUUUCACUUCGAUUUCCUUUGAUAUCUUCAUUAAUUUCUCGUAAUUUUCCUCUCAUUUCUCCAACAUUUUCCCACACUCUCCUUUUGUUUCUUCUACAUUUUCAGCUGCUUAGCUAAAUAUUCUAUUUACCAUUGCGAAUGUAUAUCCAAGUUAUAGUAUUUUUCAAGUCUAUUUCGAGGGGAAAAUGUUCCUACUGCACGGAAGUUCUUCGAAGAAGAGAACAGUCCGAAAAGAACUGAAACUUUGUAACCCCCAGUUAAUCGCGACGUUACAAUCAUCUUACCUCGAUAUCCCAGUUAACACGUGCUCCGAAUGCGUCUACGUGCGAGCAACGUCGCGAAACUUUAAGCACCGAGACGGAAACUUCUGGUUUUCGAAUGAAAACUUCCCGAAAGAAAGUUCCAUUCGGUCGUAAGAGAGCUUUUUCCGCUUCCUUCCUCUUUGUCGCGUUUAUCGCUGACUGCCAAACAGUACUGCGAGUCCACGAGUCACGUUAAUACUUUCCAACACGCACUCGAGAGGUUUAAUACGUCUGUUCAAUGUGGUUCGAUAGAAAUGAGUAAAUUUUCCCAUAGAGUGAAAGUUGUAAUGGAUUCCAGCAUUCUUUUAUCGUUAGAACUAUCUCGACGAACCAUCGUAGGAUAAAGACGACGCCUCGGAAAGCAGCUCGGCUGGCAUUUAUGCAAACGGCUGUACAUUGAUUUGUAGCCACGAGGGCCAUCGCGCGAAAUCGUGCUGACGUAGCUUCUCUGGAAACGGGGAAGCUUACCUUAUGUCGACGCGUCCAGGAUGGCCGAAACUCUCCUGCAGGAUUGCCUAAGCGCCCUUCGAGUCGGGAGUCCUGCGUCAGCUUUGUCCGGUUGCUCCCCUUUCGAUGCUUGCUGCUGCCAGUAUGGAUCCAUCGUAAAUCUCUGCUAUUGCCGACGUUAGACGAAUAAUAAGUUGUAUUUCGAGUAAUAUUAUGGUAGAAAUAGUGAUAUCUAUUUUAUUAUGAAACGAAGAUGGCACGUUCGUAAGCUGUUAAGCCCCAAAACCGGAAGCUGAAGAAUUUCAAGAUGUCUACGUCAAACAAUUCCUCUUCUAGAAAAGGCCAGCGAUGUAUGCCGGAACGAUGAAUCUUUUAUUCAUAUAGACUUCCGACUUUGUACCAAUAAAUCAGAAAUUGAACUCCGUAGAGUGUAUUGCUGCUCCUUGUUCCGGUCUUUUACUGUCGAUGUCGAGGCGAAAUUCGUCUCGAAGAAUCCUUUGUAUAAUAUCCAUCCACCUUCUUAAAACAAGAAUUUUAGAAUUAGAAUUGUACUAUAGAAUUGUAAAUAUUUUUGGUGAAAGCUGUAAAAAGAAUAAAAAUGAACUACAGUACGAGGGUGCUUUCCCCACGAAAAUGGCAGCGAUAAAGGUGAAUUUUCGUGGGAGGAAUGAACCAAGCGGAAUAACGUACGUCUGUGCCGAGAACAGGAUCGUCAAAAGCCACUUUCAGUCUCAGACAAAGCGGAUUCCCCGAGACGGGGAAGGUUGGGUUGCGUUACAUGUCGAUUCCUUUGAAAGGGAGCCCGAAAGCCGAUAGUCCGAACGACUAAAGUCCAAAAUUUCUGUACCAUAUU